GACGUAGGGGGCAAGCGUUAUUCGGAAUCAUUGGGCGUAAAGCGCUCGUAGGCGGAUCGAACAGUCGGUGAAGAAAGACCUGGGCUCAACUCAGGGAACGGCACCGAUACUAUCGGUCUUGAGGCAAUCAGAGGAUGAUGGAAUUCCCGGUGUAGCGGUGAAAUGCGUAGAUAUCCGGAGGAACACCAGUGGCGCAGGCGGCUCUCUGGGUCGACCCUGACGCUGAGGCACGAAAGCGUGGGGAGCGAACGGG
rnacentral:rRNA from 1 species